rnacentral:tRNA from 1 species
UCCCUCGUGGCUCAGAUGGUUGAGCGUCUGUCUACAAUGUGGGAGACCCAGGUUCGAUCCCUGGAUAGGGAA